rnacentral:rRNA from 1 species
AUGGCAAGUUAUGAAAAAGAGUAUGAUGUUGAAGGAAAUGGGCAUCUCAAUUAGCCCGUCACAUGGUUUCACUUUAAUGUACUACGUGAUCGUCUAUGCCAAGAGUUUAGAAACAACCUUGAUCCAAUUGAAGAGAAGCAAGACAAGUUGUCGAGAUAUCUGCAACAAUUUAUGGGUAAUGUUAAUGAGCAACUCACUCAGAACAUGGCAGCCAUGAGGGCUAAUAUUGUUGCUAUUGUGCGAGAGCUUUGUCAAGGCCGAGAAGAUGCAAGUUUCCAUGGUGAUGAACGUAUUGCAACUGAUGGGGAAGCUGCUGCCUCUAAUACACAAGUUAGAAUAAACCAAGCUCCUGCUCCCCAUGCCAUGAGACCUUCCGGCCCCGGACAUGGAAAUGCUCAUGCUAAUGGUCGUGGUUAUCAUGAAGCUGCUGCUUGUCGUGGUCUUAGAGGAGGCCAAAGAGCAAAUCUGCACCAUGAAGAAAGUGAAGAUGAGUUCGAUGAAGCUGAAGACGGCAUGCACCACAAUGACAAAUUUCAUCAUCGUAGAAACUAUGGUCGUGGACGGCAGGAAGAGGAGAGGUUUGGAAAGCUGAAAUUACCAUGCCCAAGUUUGAUGGUGGAUUUGAUCCAGAAAAUUAUCUCUCAUGGGAAUUGA